rnacentral:rRNA from 1 species
AACGAACGCUGGCGGCAGGCCUAACACAUGCAAGUCGAACGCCCUAGCAAUAGGGAGUGGCAGACGGGUGAGUAACACGUGGGAACCUUCCCUGUAGUACGGAAUAGCCCAGGGAAACUUGGAGUAAUACCGUAUAAGCCCGAGAGGGGAAAGAUUUAUCGCUACAGGAUGGGCCCGCGUCGGAUUAGCUAGUUGGUGAGGUAAUGGCUCACCAAGGCGACGAUCCGUAGCUGGUUUGAGCGAACGACCAGCCACACUGGAACUGAGACACGGCCCAGACUCCUACGGGAGGAAGCAGUAGGAAAUAUUGGACAAUGGGCGCAGGCCUGAUCCAGCCAUGCCGCGUGAGUGAUGAAGGCCUUAGGGUUGUAAAGCUCUUUUGGCGGGGACGAUAAUGACGGUACCCGCAGAAUAAGUCCCGGCUAACUUCGUGCCAGCAGCCGCCGUAAAAC